rnacentral:rRNA from 1 species
GAACGGGUGAGUAACACGUGGGCAAUCUGCCCUUCACUCUGGGACAAGCCCUGGAAACGGGGUCUAAUACCGGAUAACACUUCCACUCUCCUGGGUGGAGGUUAAAAGCUCCGGCGGUGAAGGAUGAGCCCGCGGCCUAUCAGCUUGUUGGUGAGGUAACGGCUCACCAAGGCGACGACGGGUAGCCGGCCUGAGAGGGCGACCGGCCACACUGGGACUGAGACACGGCCCAGACUCCUACGGGAGGCAGCAGUGGGGAAUAUUGCACAAUGGGCGAAAGCCUGAUGCAGCGACGCCGCGUGAGGGAUGACGGCCUUCGGGUUGUAAACCUCUUUCAGCAGGGAAGAAGCGAAAGUGACGGUACCUGCAGAAGAAGCGCCGGCUAACUACGUGCCAGCAGCCGCGGUAAUACGUAGGGCGCAAGCGUUGUCCGGAAUUAUUGGGCGUAAAGAGCUCGUAGGCGGCUUGUCACGUCGGGUGUGAAAGCCCGGGGCUUAACCCCGGGUCUGCAUUCGAUACGGGCUAGCUAGAGUGUGGUAGGGGAGAUCGGAAUUCCUGGUGUAGCGGUGAAAUGCGCAGAUAUCAGGAGGAACACCGGUGGCGAAGGCGGAUCUCUGGGCCAUUACUGACGCUGAGGAGC